rnacentral:rRNA from 1 species
AGUCGAGCGAGUCUGCCUUGAAGAUCGGAGUGCUUGCACUCUGUGAAACAAGAUACAGGCUAGCGGCGGACGGGUGAGUAACACGUGGGUAACCUGCCCAAGAGAUCGGGAUAACACCUGGAAACAGAUGCUAAUACCGGAUAACAACAGAUGAUGCCUAUCAACUGUUUAAAAGACGGUUCUGCUAUCACUCUUGGAUGGACCUGCGGUGCAUUAGCUAGUUGGUAGGGUAACGGCCUACCAAGGCGAUGAUGCAUAGCCGAGUUGAGAGACUGAUCGGCCACAUUGGGACUGAGACACGGCCCAAACUCCUACGGGAGGCAGCAGUAGGGAAUCUUCCACAAUGGACGCAAGUCUGAUGGAGCAACGCCGCGUGAGUGAAGAAGGGUUUCGGCUCGUAAAGCUCUGUUGUUGGUGAAGAAGGACAGGGGUAGUAACUGACCUUUGUUUGACGGUAAUCAAUUAGAAAGUCACGGCUAACUACGUGCCAGCAGCCGCGGUAAUACGUAGGUGGCAAGCGUUGUCCAGAUUUAUUGGGCGUAAAGCGAGUGCAGGCGGCUCGAUAAGUCUGAUGUGAAAGCCUUCGGCUCAACCGGAGAAUUGCAUCAGAAACUGUCGAGCUUGAGUACAGAAGAGGAGAGUGGAACUCCAUGUGUAGCGGUGAAAUGCGUAGAUAUAUGGAAGAACACCGGUGGCGAAGGCGGCUCUCUGGUCUGUUACUGACGCUGAGGCUCGAAAGCAUGGGUAGCGAACAGGAUUAGAUACCCUGGUAGUCCAUGCCGUANACGAUGAGUGCUAAGUGUUGGGAGGUUUCCGCCUCUCAGUGCUGCAGCUAACGCAUUAAGCACUCCGCCUGGGGAGUACG